rnacentral:rRNA from 2 species
AAAAUUAGAGUGUUCAAAGCAGGCAGAUUCAAUUUUCUGCCACCGAAUACAUUAGCAUGGGAUAAUGGAAUAGGACCCUGUCCUCCUAUUUUCAGUUGGUUUUGGCAGCGCGAGGACUAGGGUAAUGAUUAAUAGGGAUAGUUGGGGGCAUUAAUAUUUAAUUGUCAGAGGUGAAAUUCUUGGAUUUAUGAAAGAUUAACUUCUGCGAAAGCAUCUGCCAAGGAUGUUUUCAUUAAUCAAGAACGAAAGUUAGGGGAUCGAAGACGAUCAGAUACCGUCGUAGUCUUAACCAUAAACGAUGCCGACCAGCGAUUAGGAGACGUUGAAUACAAAACACCACCAUCGGCGCGGUCGUCCUUGGCGUUCGUGUUCACGCACGAGCGCGAGGGCGGCUUAGCCCGAUGGCACCGGUGAA